ACGCUGGCGGCGUGCUUAACACAUGCAAGUCGAACGAAAAUACCAAGCUUGCUUGGUUGAUUAGUGGCGAACGGGUGAGUAACACGUGAGUAACCUGCCCCUUACUUUCCUGGAUAACUGCUCGAAAGGGUAGCUAAUACGGGAUAUUCUGGCCUUCCUGCAUGGGUUGGUUUGGAAAGGUUGUUUUUCUGGUAAGGGAUGGGCUCGCGGCCUAUCAGCUUGUUGGUGGGGUGAUGGCCUACCAAGGCUUUGACGGGUAGCCGGCCUGAGAGGGUGGACGGUCACACUGGGACUGAGAUACGGCCCAGACUCCUACGGGAGGCAGCAGUGGGGAAUAUUGCACAAUGGGCGCAAGCCUGAUGCAGCGACGCCGCGUGAGGGAUGAAGGCCUUCGGGUUGUAAACCUCUUUCGUCAGGGAACAAGGCACUGCUUUUGGUGGUGUUGAGGGUACCUGGAUAAGAAGCGCCGGCUAACUACGUGCCAGCAGCCGCGGUAAUACGUAGGGCGCAAGCGUUGUCCGGAAUUAUUGGGCGUAAAGAGCUCGUAGGCGGCUGGUCGCGUCUGUCGUGAAAACUUCCGGCUCAACCGGGGGCUUGCGGUGGGUACGGGCCGGCUAGAGUGCGGUAGGGGUAACUGGAACUCCUGGUGUAGCGGUGGAAUGCGCAGAUAUCAGGAAGAACACCGAUGGCGAAGGCAGGUUACUGGGCCGUUACUGACGCUGAGGAGCGAAAGCGUGGGGAGCGAACAGGAUUAGAUACCCUGGUAGUCCACGCCGUAAACGUUGGGCACUAGGUGUGAGGCUCCUUUCCGGGGGUUUUGCGCCGUAGCUAACGCAUUAAGUGCCCCGCCUGGGGAGUACGGCCGCAAGGCUAAAACUCAAAGGAAUUGACGGGGGCCCGCACAAGCGGCGGAGCAUGCGGAUUAA
rnacentral:rRNA from 1 species